rnacentral:rRNA from 1 species
GAUGAACGCUAGCUACAGGCUUAACACAUGCAAGUCGAGGGGAAACGAUGAGAGAGCUUGCUCUCUUAGUCGUCGACCGGCGCACGGGUGAGUAACGCGUAUCCAACCUGCCUCUGACCAAGGGAUAACCCGUCGAAAGUCGGACUAAUACCUUAUGCAGUCGUCGGAAGUCAUCUGAUGACGACGAAAGAUUUCAUCGGUGAGAGAUGGGGAUGCGUCUGAUUAGCUUGUUGGCGGGGUAACGGUCCACCAAGGCGACGAUCAGUAGGGGUUCUGAGAGGAAGGUCCCCCACAUUGGAACUGAGACACGGUCCAAACUCCUACGGGAGGCAGCAGUGAGGAAUAUUGGUCAAUGGGCGUAAGCCUGAACCAGCCAAGUAGCGUGCAGGAUGACGGCCCUAUGGGUGGUAAACUGCUUUUAUGCGGGGAUAAAGUGAGGGACGUGUCCUUCAUUGCAGGUACCGCAUGAAUAAGGACCGGCUAAUUCCAUG